AGCAGAAGGGUUAUGACUUCCAUGCCUUUGCUGCCUAUCAGUUGAAAAGCCCAUAGUAUGAAAAGCCAAUUAAUUGAUAUUAUUUAAAGACCGCUUUUCAGAGGAGUUCUUUUUUGGAGGGACUGAAUCUCAACUCUGUGCUAAAUUAUGCACAAGAGUUAAGGGAGUCUUAAGCACAACAGGCCCUCGACCUCAGCUGUAGCCUCUAAUGUCACCAUAAUGAAGGCAAAUGAAUGACGAUAGGAAGAAAACCUACUUCAGUCACUGCCAAAGACAAAAGCCAAAACAAGAAAAAUCUUGUGAGAACAGACAUCCAUGGCCAAGCUGUCAAAAACCUUCAACAAGGAACUGAAUUGUCAACAGAGGUCCUCAUUUCACAGGUUUUUAUCAUCCCAGGGGAAAGCAAAGGAAGAUCUGACUGUGUCACAAGAACUGCUAAAUUCCUGGACUCCUCACAGAAGCCUGGCUCUUGCUAGACCAGUAGUAUGGCCUGCAAUGAUCCUGCAGUAAAGCCUGAUGGAUGGAAAGUGAGAGUCAGUAGAGUUCAGUCCUCUCAUGAAAGCCAAACAAAACACUUCCCCACUUUCA